UUAAAUGCAGUGAUCAGGAUAAGUAAGCUAUAUGAAUCAGACAGAGAGAAGUUCCUUGGCUGAGAGAACUUUAUGCUGGAUUGUAGCCCAAAUGCCCCUGUUAGCAUUAAGCCGAAGUUUAGUAGGCAGUUACGUGAGCUCACGUUAUAGGGCUAUGACAUGAUCGUGUCAGAAUGAGAUAGGCAUAUUUGCCUAAUCAGAGUGGAACCGCGGAAGUAACCUUCUGCCUCUGUA
rnacentral:ncRNA from 1 species